ACACGUAGGGGACAAGCGUUGUCCGGAAUCACUGGGCGUAAAGGGCGCGUAGGCGGUUUUAUAAGUCAGAUGUGAAAGGUACCGGCUCAACCGGUGACGUGCAUUUGAAACUGUAAGACUUGAGUACUGGAGAGGCAAGUGGAAUUCCUAGUGUAGCGGUGAAAUGCGUAGAUAUUAGGAGGAACACCGGUGGCGAAGGCGGCUUGCUGGACAGAUACUGACGCUGAGGUGCGAAAGCGUGGGGAGCGAACAGGAUUAGAUACCCUGGUAGUCCACGCCGUAAACGAUGAUGACUAGGUGUUGGGGAAACUCAGUGCCGCAGUUAACACAUUAAGUCAUCCGCCUGGGGAGUACGACUGCAAGGUUGAAACUCAAAUGAAUUGACGGGG
rnacentral:rRNA from 1 species